UAUGCCAAAUUGAGGGGGUAAAAUGAUCCUUUGCUCCAAUAAGUUUCAAAAAAUAGGAAAACAAAAAAUCAGAUCAUGUACCCAAAACCCCCUCCAUUUUCUGAAUUCGGGUUUAGCAUUUUAAUUUGUUGUUCAAAAGUUACUCUGAGUGUAAAUGCAACUUCUCAUCGCUUAACUCACCUUUUCAAAAUGGCCGAGUCAUCUUCCAUGUCGCCCAAGCCGGGCUCUAAAAUGCUCGGGUCCGAUCACAGCUCUACAGCUUCGCCUUUACCUUAUACUGAGGUAGUUGUAGUACGCCAUGGCGAAACUGAGUGGAACGCCGAUGGAAGACUUCAGGGACAUCUUGAUGUUUUGUUGAAUGAUACCGGCAGACAGCAAGCUGCUGCGGUGGCUAACCGACUUUCCAAGGAGCCUAAAAUUGCAGCUAUAUAUUCUUCUGACUUGAAGAGAGCUCUCACGACAGCGGAGAUUAUUGCUGCUAGCUGUGGAGGUCUUGAGGUUGUUGAAGAUGGAGAUCUCAGGGAAAGGCAUUUAGGACAGCUUCAAGGCCUUGUAUUACGUGAUACUGCCAAAGUUAAUCCUGAAGCUUACCAGGCCUUUUUAAGCCGUAGAACCAGUCAAGAUAUCCCAAGUCAAAGAUCCAAGUGCAAGAUGGAAGCAAACAACUCCUUAAGGCCACUCUUUAAUGGUAGUGAUUAUGCCUUUUGGAAGUUUAAGAUGGAGAAAUUUCUUGAUAGUGAAUCCAUCAAUUUAUGGCAUUGUAUAAGAAAAGGAUGGUCUUUCCCCACCAAAGCAGUUGAUGGAGUUCAAAUAGAGAAGUCUAGAGAUGACUGGAAUCGAAAUGAAGAAGCUCUUUAUUUGAAGAACAAUGAGUGCAUGAUAAUGCUUGCUACUUCACUGUCAAGAGAUGAAGGAGGCAAAAUAGCUCAUUGUACAAGUGCAAGAGAAAUGUGGACAACAUUGGAGAAUCACCAUGAAGGUACCUCGCAUGUCAAAGCUAUAAAGAAAGAACUCCUUAUUCGUGACUAUAACUUAUUCAAGCAUAAGAUUGGUGAAAAUGUUACGGAAAUGACCAACCGUCUACUACAAAUUGUUCGCACCUUGAGGAAAUACGAUAAAAUCUGCAGUAAGAAGGAUGUCAAUGACAAAAUCUUAUAUUCAUUGCCCAAUGGUUUUGAAGCCAGGGUGACGGCGAUUAUAGAAGCACAUGAUCUUAGCAAGCUCAACACCGAUGAGCUUAUCGGAAAACUCAUAGCUCAUGAAAUGACUUAUGGAAAGGAUGAGUUAAAGGAAAAGAAGAUGAAAUGUUUGGAAAUAUCCAAGUGCAAGAUGGAAGCAAACAACUCCUUAAUGCCACUCUUUAAUGGUAGUGAUUAUGCCUUUUGGAAGUUUAAGAUGGAGAAAUUUCUUGAUAGUGAAUCCAUCAAUUUAUGGCAUUGUAUAAGAAAAGGAUGGUCUUUCCCCACGAAAGAAGCUGAUGGAGUUCAAAUAGAGAAGUCUAGAGAUGACUGGAAUCUAAAUGAAGAAGCUCUUUAUUUGAAGAACAACGAGUGCAUGAUAAUGCUUGCUACUUCACUGUCAAGAGAUGAAGGAGGCAAAAUCGCUCAUUGUACAAGUGCAAGAGAAAUCUGGACGACAUUGGAGAAUCACCAUGAAGGUACCUCGCAUGUCAAAGCUAUAAAGAAAGAACUCCUUAUUCGUGAAUAUAACUUAUUCAAGCAUAAGAUUGGUGAAAAUGUUACAGAAAUGACCAACCGUCUGCUACAAAUUGUCCGCACCUUGAGGAAAUACGAUAAAAUCUGCAGUAAGACGGAUAUUAACUACAAAAUCUUAUAUUCAUUGCCCAAGAUUGGUUUUGAAGCCAGGGUGACGGCGAUUAUAGAAGCACAUGAUCUUAGCAAGCUCAACACCGAUGAGCUUAUCGGAAAACUCAUAGCUCAUGAAAUGACUUAUGGAAAGGAAUUGAUAAAGGAAAGUAAGAAAUGUUUGGCAUUGAAGGCUAGAGUGGAAAGCUUCUCAAGUGAGGAUGGGUCAAUAGAAAAUGAUUACAAUGAUGAUACUGAUAAGGCGAUUUGGCACUGUCUACAAAAGCAGAAUCAAAUAUUCCAAAGCAAUAAGGACAGGAGGAAUUGUACAAUCUUACAGAAGUGUUCCAAGAGGGAUGAGAAUAAGAUGAAGUGCUAUGAGUGUGGCAGGAAAGGGCACAUGAGGUCAGAAUGCCCCAAGCUUGAGGAAAGCCCCUCAAGGUGGCACAAGAAGGACAAAGGAGUAGAAGCAAAGCGGAAAGGAUAUACAGCUACAUGGAGUGAUUAUUAUUGUGAUGAAGAGGACGUUGAUAACAAAAAUGACCAACCUAAUUAUUGCCUUAGAGCAACCAUCGACUAAGGAGACACUUAUGGGAAGUGCUACUUAAGGAAGACUUCAAGACUAACCCACAUGGAACCUUUUGGGGUGGUGGAGAAAGUCUGGAUCAGCUGUAUCUACGUAGUACGUCUUCUUUGCAAAGAAUUGCUAGGAAGCAUAGAGGAGAGAGAGUUGUGG